AGAGGAAUAGCUGGGUCAAAUGGUGGUUCCAAUCCCAGAUUUCCAAGGAUUCUCCAUACUGCUUUCCAAAAGGGCUACACCAAUUUGCAGUCCCACCAGCAAU
rnacentral:pre_miRNA from 1 species